CCUACGGGAGGCUGCAGUGAGGAAUAUUGGUCAAUGGACGAGAGUCUGAACCAGCCAAGUAGCGUGAAGGAUGACUGUCCUAUGGGUUGUAAACUUCUUUUAUAUGGGAAUAAAAUGUUCCACGUGUGGGAUUUUGUAUGUACCAUAUGAAUAAGGAUUGGCUAACUCCGUGCCAGCAGCCGCGGUAAUACGGAGGAUCCGAGCGUUAUCCGGAUUUAUUGGGUUUAAAGGGAGCGUAGGUGGAUUGUUAAGUCAGUUGUGAAAGUUUGCGGCUCAACCGUAAAAUUGCAGUUGAAACUGGCAGUCUUGAGUACAGUAGAGGUGGGCGGAAUUCGUGGUGUAGCGGUGAAAUGCUUAGAUAUCACGAAGAACUCCGAUUGCGAAGGCAGUUCACUGGACUGCAACUGACACUGAGGCUCGAAAGUGUGGGUAUCAAACAGGAUUAGAUACCCGGGUAGUC
rnacentral:rRNA from 1 species